AGUUCGCGACAGUGAAGGCUCGAUUUUGGUAUGCUUGGUGUCGCGCUUUUAGUACGUUUUGUUAGCGGUGCUUUAAUGUGACCGUUGACGCUUCUGUGGUGGCGAGGUGCGCGUUGCCGGGCAAUUGCAUUUCAAGAGACAACGUUCCCCAACGGGGUUUGUUGGGUUGCCAGUUCGUAUUCUCCGUGUCGUCCGUCUUCAUCCACUCAUCAAUGAAGCUCUGAGCUGAACGCAAGUAUAGGAACGCUCCCUGGACCAAGGGAAGAGUGCACGGACAACAAACAAGAAGGUACCUGAACUUGAAAUACACGUGGUGGAGAAG